rnacentral:rRNA from 1 species
GUAAGGAAUAUUGGUCAAUGGACGAAAGUCUGAACCAGCCAUGCCGCGUGGAGGAUGAAGGUCCUCUGGAUUGUAAACUUCUUUUAUAUGGGACGAAAAUGGGGCUUUCUAGCUCAACUGACGGUACCAUAUGAAUAAGCACCGGCUAACUCCGUGCCAGCAGCCGCGGUAAUACGGAGGGUGCAAGCGUUAUCCGGAUUCACUGGGUUUAAAGGGUGCGUAGGUGGAUUGGUAAGUCAGAGGUGAAAUCUCCGGGCUCAACUCGGAAACUGCGUUUGAUACUAUCAAUCUUGAAUAUUGUGGAGGUUAGCGGAAUAUGUCAUGUAGCGGUGAAAUGCUUAGAUAUGACAUAGAACACCAAUUGCGAAGGCAGCUGGCUACACAUAUAUUGACACUGAGGCACGAAAGCGUGGGGAUCAAACAGGAUUAGAAACCCCUGUAGUCC